rnacentral:rRNA from 1 species
AUGAAGUUUCUUUAUGUGUUACCUGGCUGGGAGGGUUCGGGUUCAGACUCGAGAGUUUUGCGUGAUGCAAUGAGGACAAACCGCCAAGAUGCUUUUGUUAUACCUAAGGGGAAAUAUUAUUUAGUUGAUGUUGGUUAUACCAAUGGAGAAGGAUUUCUAGCUCCAUUCAGGUCCACUCGGUACCAUCUAAAAGAAUGGGCUGGAAGUGCACAACAACCUCAAGCAGCUAAAGAGUUAUAUAACUUGCGCCAUUCUCGUGCUAGGAAUGUAGUGGAGCGAACAUUUGGCUUGUUCAAGAAAAAAUGGGCCAUCUUGCGUUCCCAAACCUUCUUUGACAUAAAGGAUUAG